rnacentral:snRNA from 1 species
AGCUUUGCACAGUAGCAGUAUCAUAGCCACUGAUGUUUCUCUGAGGUGUGAUUAUUGCUAAUUAAAAAUGUGACUCAAGAG